UCAACUCAUGGAAUCAUCAAAGGAAAGUAUUAUUACCUCACAUAAUUUUUAUCUCCAUAUGACUACCAUUCCUAUAUCAGUUAUUGAGAAGUUCCUUCCCCACUGAUUGCAUUGUUACUUUAAAAAAUCAUAAAUGCAGCCGGGCAUGGUGGCUCACACCUGUAAUCCCAGUGGCUCUUGAGGCUGAGACAAGAGGAUUGCAAGUUCAAGGCCAGCGUCAGCAACUUAAAGCAACUUAGUGAGACAUUGUCUCAAAAAUAAAAGGACUAAGCCUAUGGCUCAGUGGUUAAGCACACCUGGGUUCAAUCCCUGGUAUGAAAAAAAAAUCAAAUGCAUAGAUGUGUCUUGUUUCCCAAUUUCCAUUGAUUAAUCAUUUUCCAGUAUUUUUUUAUCAAUAUACUGCUUUUGUUAUUAUACUUUGGAUGUGUAUUCCAUUGGAAUACAGAAAGUAUGGAAAUAGAACAAGUUCAGCAAUACAAGAAGGAAUGAUCCAUAAGAUGGCAUAUGUCACAGCACAAAUGAUCUGAUUUCCCCAACAAAUAACUGACAAAACAGAGGACCAUUGUGAUUUAAACAGAUUUAGGAGGCAUAACAAAUUCAGUGGGUGGAACUUGUUUGGAUUUUAAUUCAACCAAAACAACCAUUACAGGAUCUUUGGAACAACAGGAUAAAUGGUAUUCUGGACUGAGCAUUACUUGAUAUUAAAGAAAUACUGCUAACUUUUAAAAGUAUGAUAUAGGUAUAUGUGAAGAAAGAACUUAAUGAAGGAAAUAAAGAGGAGAAGCGCCUUAACAGUAACAGGCUUAUUUGGGAUAAACCUGGGGAAAGGUGUCCCAGCCGAGAUUGGAGCCUGUCUUCUGCUUACAGCCUAGGGGAGUGAGAGGGUGGGGGAAAUUUUUGCAGUUUAGCUGUUGCUAGGGGGUUGUCAGAGAAGGAUUCUUGGGGUCAUCAUGCCAUUCUUCAUGGUCACUGCUGUUCCAUGUAGAACAAAAUGUUUCUCAAGAUUUCAGUUCAAGAUAACAGGGAACAGGGUAUUGUCUGGGAUUAGGUCAUGCUGACCAUUGUUCUGCAUCAGAGUGAUCUAGGUGACAGUUCUAAAAUGGAGGCUAUGUUUCCAAAUGGCAUUGCCUAAGUCGAGUUGUCCCUUACAGUAUAGAGAUUCUUUUAUUAAAAAAUUUAUGAAGGCUGGGGUUGUGGCUCAGUGGUAGAGCACUCACCUAGCAUGUAUGGAAGCACUCGGUUCGAUUCUCAGGACCACAUAAAAACAAAGUCCAUCAAAUUAAAAAAAAUUUUUUUAAAGUUAUGAAUGCAUAGAUGUGAUGCCUGGAAUAUUCCUUAAAAUUUACAAGUAAGAACUGCUAAUAAAUGGAUUCACUGAUAAAUGAGAGAUACUAGCUAGUGCAGUAAAGAAACAUUAAAAAGUAUAUGGCACAACCAUUUAAAAUGUAUAUGAAGAUUACUUGUUAAUGCAGAAAACACUAAAUCAACAGAUAAGUUAUGGGUCUUUUUUUUUCAGAUAUUUCUAGCCCAUCAAAUCUAAUGAAGACUUUAAACCUUACAUUGAAGAUUCCAGGAUUUUGCAUAACUUGCAACCUAACAAAUUACCCUGACACUUUUUUGUGGAUGCUGGCAAACAAGACAAAAACAAGAUUUCUGGGGGUUUUGUUUGUUGGUUGGUUUUUGAGACAAAAGUCAUGUUAGGACGUUUGUCUAGCAUGGGCCAACCCUUGGGUUGAAUCUCCAAAUCCCCAACAAAUAAAAACCCACCAGUCCUACUUUCUGAAAAGUAAUUGUUCAUUGAGUUCAACUAACUUAUAGAAAAAUAUUCUGUAUUUAUGAUUUCUAGAGCGGCUGGUUGUAGAUGAAAACAGUUUUGAGCUGGGGAAGGGAGGUAUGGAAAAGUGAAAGGACGAAAAGUUAAAGCGCUGAGGACGCUGUGAACCAAACGCACUUACAUAUUUUUAGAAAUAAAAGUGACAACCUUGCAUAAGAGCUACUUUGCUGGCGAUUCUGGGAAGUGUGGUCCAGAAGCUCCAGGUGGUCAGCCACUUCCGCAUAGCGCGGGGACUACUGCCCGUGUUCCUCCCAGGAAUUCUGGGAAGUGUAGUCCGGGAGCCGAGUCCAGGCCUGAGCACUUCCGCCUCAGGAGGGCAUCAUCAAUGCCCACUGGGAGGUGAGUAUCCUUUGCGUCUGCUCAGGUCUUUCCUGGGUUGCGGGUGGAAUACGGAGGUGUUGGCCCUAACUCUGGGGGAAAAUAAGCCUUGGCGGCAGAGGCGACGGUCUGCGUCUCCCUCGCUUGUAGGGUUUUUGCACGUCCCUGAGUCGGGGGCGGGCCCCGGUCGCGCAUCACUGCUUUGAGGUCUCCCCCGCUCUCGGGUCUCCUGUUUCCCCCGCUUUCCACACGCUCUGCAGCUCUCUGGCCGUGUAAUCUUAGUAGUUACCCAACGACGCCGUUUCCCCUCUGCACAGGGGUUUAUUUGUAGCCGACCUAGUAGGGGCUGGGAGGGUUAUCAGAACCAUCCUGGCACGGCUGCUGCCGGCGGCCAAUUCCCGAGAAGCCCUCGGGUGCUGAGCUCCCUCCGCAGCGCCUUUGGUCCGGCUUUGAGCCUAAUGACCCCUGGCCUGUGUCCCCCUUCUGUCGCAUGCCUGGGGUCGCUCACUGGGAGUUAUCCUGGACCAGGGACACAAUCUCAUAUUCCAUCCUCCUUUCCUUCCUCGGCCCCCACUUCUCAAAAAGGACUGCGGAUAGUUGAAGGGUGUGACCCCUUGGCGACACCAUCCAAUGUGAGAGGUUGCAUGCCAUUUCUACUCCGUUAUUAUUCCUGAGCCACAGAGGAGGCCCAAGAGGAUAAUUCAUCUACAGAAUGUCACUCAGCCAUCACUAGAAGUAAAGCCAUCUGAAAUGGCAUGUCCCCAUCUUUUUCUCCCUGACACCCUUCAUCCUGAUCUGUUGGUUGUUAUUAUUACUUGUCUCCCCACUGUAGUAUCCAUUUCAUGGGCACAGGGACUUUCUUCACUGCUGUCUUUAAUACACAGAAUUGAAGAUUUAUUGAAUGAAGAAACGAAUAAACCUGGUCAGCAGUAAUAAGGUGCUCAAUUAAUGUAAAAUGUAUCUUGAUCACCUUUUCAUGCAAUCAUUCAUUUUUUUCAGCAUCUCAUAUAUUGCCUGCCUGCUGCAUUAACGAAUGCUCUACACUGGAUAAAAAGCAGUGAACAAAACAAGGAGGCUUCCAGUCCCAAAGUGGGGAUAGACUGAAAAUAAAUAAAAUGUGCAUUGGUAUGUUAGAGAGUGAGAGUGCUAAAUAUAUAAAGUGAAUGGGAGAAGAAGGAAAAUGGUGUGUGUGUGGGGGGGAGUGUUAAAAUUAUAUAAAUCAUGUCCAGAGAAGAACACUUUGAGAAGAUUAUGAAACUAUCUGAUGGUGUUGUUAAAACUGAUAGGGUUUACAUCAUCCAAAGCCCAUGAUUGACCCUUUUAUGAACCACUUCAUUUUUAAGGAUGACCUUGAUGUUACUCAGGCAAAAAAAAUAAAAUUUUAAAAGCCAAAGGAAGAAAUGAGAUGAUACAGUCCAUCCUCCCCUCCUCCCAGUUAGGGACAACCUCAGAGUUUUACAGCUUCAAGAAACCUCACAGAUGAGUUUAUACUGUCCAUGUCUGAGUGUGUGUCUUCAGUCGUUCUUGGAUUCCCUGUGUUUUGAGAACUUGCGACAUUUUAGUUGCUGGGGACAAAAAGGUACCUAGGUGUUCCAUGUUUCACAGGCAAAAACAGAUGCUUAAUCUCAUCAUUUCCCCAACUCCUCUGAAGACUUCUCAGCAGAAUUACAGGAUAAGAAAGGGAAGUGGUUCUCUGGGGAGGAAGAGUGGUGGGAACAGGGACAGGAGAGAACCUGGCAACCCAGGAAUGAGCAAGGGCUGGGAACCUGGGCCUGGGAAAGUGCCCCUGCAGCUUGCCAUGAGCAGGAUUGCCGCAGUCUGGCUGGGCACAAAUCACGAGCCACUGAAGCAGGAACAAACUUUAUUUUUGAACUGCAGGAAAACACUUCACACAGCUCCCGGGGAAUCCUCCCGAACACCGCGCUGCUUGUCCAGGAACCCCCAGCCGGAAAUAUCUCUCCCGGAAAUCCCUCCUCCUGCACUUCCCCAACCAAUGGGAACUCUCGGGGAAUCCCCGGAAAUCCCCACGAGAACUCCAAAAUAGUGCGAGAACUCAAAAGUUGCGGCAGAGGCAGAUAGUAAUGCCUCGCCUGUCAAUCAAUACUGUUGGCAAAAUGCCAGGGGCCAUACAGACUCCGCCGUGGCUCUCAGCACAGGAUGGAGCCAGGCCCUCUUGCUUUUCUCUCAUAACUGCUGUGUGAUGUCAGGUCUCCUUCAAAACCCUGCUACCAAGCAAAGCAGGAAGGUGCAGAUGAAUGAGGGCCAGGACAAAGGGAACUGGAUGUUAUGAUGGGAUAGUUUCCCCAAGCUUUUGAGAAGUGGCCACAUUGCUUUUGUGCCUACUAGUGUGCCGCUGCUUGAAGCAGAAAGACCCAGGAACAACAUCCAUUCUCCUGUAUUGAGUGCAUCUUAACAACUUUCUGAAGUUGACUUUGUCGCCAUGCCCGUUUUGUAGAUGUGGUGAUGGAAAGAGUCACAAAGAGCUAGUGAGUCAGGGGUCAGUGUUAGGAUUCUGAUGAUCUGGCUUCAGCAUCUCUCAGCAGAGUCCAUGUCCUCCAGCUCCCCUUUUUCUGAUCUGAAAGACACCCCAGUCAUCUCUUCAGACUUAAAGAUUAGAGAGGAAAAUGAAGUCAGCUGGAUUCAGAUGCAGUCUCUCCUCACCAGCUCUGUCACCCUGGGUGAGGUAAUCGCACCACUCCUCAGUUUCCUCAUCCAUUAAAUGGGAACAUCCCUUCUUGAGAGUUUGUAUACUAUGGCAGGCACUGAGACAAGAUUUUUUUCUCCUAUUUUAAAAAUCAAGUUGUAAUUCACACACAUAUAAUCCACUUCUUUAAAGUGUGAAAUUUAGUGUUCACUAGGUUGUUCAACCAUCACCACUACCCGUUUCCAGAAUACUUUCAUCACACCAAAAAAAAAAAAAAAAAAAACCCAAAACUUACAGGUCUUAUGCUUUACUACCUGCCCCCAGCCUCUGGCAGCAACUCAGACCCUGUGUCAUGGAUUUGCAUAGCCAAGGCUGCUGAUCAGCUCACUGAACACCCAAACACCGAAAGCACCUCUGUCACUUAGGAUCUGUCAUUACUCCUACAGUACUGUUCAUUUAAAUGAGACUGCUGGAGCUGGUGUGGUGGCUCAGUGGUAGAGCACUUCCUAGCUUGUGUGAGGAACUGGGUUUGAUCCUCAGCACCACAUAAAAAUAAAUAAAUAACACUAAAAAAAGAAUGCUUUUUUAAAAAAGUAACUGCUGUACAGUUUUAAAAAGUGACUGCUGAACAUUUGUUUAAAAUGAAAAAAAAUCAACAGUCCUAGUUGUAGUUUUUCUUGAUCACAGAGAGUGUAGGAGGAAGAGGCUGUACCACUGAUACCAUCCUAACUACACAAAGAAAAUUGAGAAGUAUUUGUACCUUUUAUAAAACCACAAACUGAUGUCAAUUAAAUAUUACUACACAACAACACAGUACUAAGUAACAUAGCCAAUGGGACUCACAGACUGAAGGCAAAGACUAAAGGAAUUUCAGAGGACACAGCAUUGUACAGUCUAUGAAAUCUGGGUGUGAUGAUAGACUCCUUCAUUGGACAUGACAAGAGACAUUCUCAGGGACAGUUUUAGGAUGCACACUGCUGCUGUGCUGCAGUAGCAAGAAAAUCAGGUGUAAACUUUUCCAUCUACUCAUACUCAAAUCCCGUGAGGGAAGUACUAUUUUUCUCAGUUUUACAGGUUACAAGUUUGGGGGAAAGGGAGGUAAUUAUCUUGACCAAAUCAGCAGCGCCAAGAUUUUACUACAGAUCCUUUGGCUCCAGAGUUUGGUACAUUCCGCUAUCUUUUGUUUCCAACAACACCCAGGGAGAGAAUGGCAAAAACCUUGAGAGCCACAAGGACUGUCCAGGGAGGCUUGCUGCUGAGAGUAGAGUAGAUUGUUCAUCGUGCAAGGGCCCCAGGAUGCGGGGCCAGUGGUAUGUGCUACUCUCCAUUUAGAAAUUCCCACAGAGCAGCAAAUGGAUUGGGGCCUGUCUCAUGGCUUCUUUCCUCUUUCCCAGUUCUGACUUCCCAGGACUCUGCCCUUCCCCAGAAGGAGCAGGAGAAGAUGACCAAGUUUCAGGAGGCUGUGAACGUCAAGGACGUGGCUGUGGUCUUCAGUGAGGAGGAGCUGGGGUUACUGGACUCUGCCCAUAGGAAGCUGUACCAAGAAGUAAUGCUGGAGAACUUCAGAAACCUGCUCUCUGUGGGGAGAACAGCAGCUGAUUUGGAUUCCAGAGAGAUUAACUAAAGCGAUUUCUACAGACCAAAAAGAAGAUGAUUUGGCUCAAAUCCAUAACAGCUGAUAUCCAAAACUCCAGUUUGGCUAUCCUUACAUCUGCGACAGAACCAGGAUGCUUUUUUUCAAUAUCUAUUUUAUUAUUACCCUUUCCCACAUCAUGAAGUUCUAUUUUGUUUUUUGAGCUCAAACAGACCUAGGUUAAUGUUUUGCUGAUCAGUUCUAUUUUUUUGACUAUAGAGUUUUUAAACAUUGCAAUGGAGAUUUCACCUGUAAAAAGUUAUAAGGCCUUUACUAUUAUGUUAUGUGUUGUGUGCACACUUGUGUUUUAUAUUGUAUGUUUGUAUGUACGUAUGUCCAUAUAUCAUAUAUGAUGAGCACUCAUGAAAAAAUGGAUCCAAAUAUUUUUUUUAUUCACGUGAUUUAAAUGAUUUAAUUUAAAUUGGGUAAACAGCUGUUGAGGAUUGUUUUAAUAUGUGAACAAAAAAGGAGGUUAACAGAUCUGUUUGUUUACUUUCACCUUUCCUUUUCAUUAUAUUUAAUAAUUCUGUUCAAGAUAAUGUAAAUUGUUCAGAAAAUUGUUUUCUUUUAGUGCCUUCUGGAAUGUUACAUAAUUUUUUUCUUUAGCCAUUAUUGCCAGAAUUCCUAUCUUCAUCCCAGUGCCGGUGAAGACAAAGAUAAAACCAAUCUACAGCUUCUGCAAUAGCCAUCACUGAACUGCUUGCAGAACUUGCCUGGACUAUAUAUCACUUGUAUGCAUUGUGAACUAUCUGUUGGCGCAGCGACUUGUGGUAGUGUUGGGGUAUUUUUGCUGAUGGUGUCAUCGGUGGUACAAUUUUUCCAAAAGGAGCCGUGAAUUGGCUUGGUGUAUCCUCCUCCCUUCUGCUUGUGAUGGUUGUUCAGCUAAAAUUUGGGGGCCAACAGAGGUGAGGCAAAGAACCUCACCCCCCCCCCCCCCCGCUGGUACAAAGACCUAUCCACAGGUGUGGCUGUAUGCUGGACCGGUAGUCAAUGACCAGUAAGAUCCAAUUGCAAUGGUACCAACCUAGGACAGGAGGCUGAUGCCUUGAGGUCAGCUCAUCCGACGAUGGGUAAGGACCAUAUGUAGUAUUGGACAACCUAAGGCAGGCACGGUCCCUAAGCCACAUGCUUGUUGUUUAAACAGAGAGGGGGAGAUGUUGAGAGCCACAGCCGAAAGGGGCCACAGCAAACUUCCAGCUGCCAGCAAACUUCCAGCUGCCAUCUGAUGAUUGGCUCACAGCGGCCCCAGCAAACUUCUAGCUGCCAACUGAUUGGCUCCUCUACGGUGAUGCUCAUUGGGCUGUUUCCCUGCCCUUUCAGACCAUGGAGCUGCUCAUUGGGGGACUUUUUGGCUCCGCCUACGUGACCCAGCCAAUCUGCCUCAAGAGCAGGAGGAGUGGGGGAGGUUGAGAGGCUUGUGGGAAGCCGGUGGUGGCAGUUGGGCUCUGAAGGUUUUCCUGAAGAGCUCAUGUGUCAU